rnacentral:rRNA from 1 species
AGAGUUUGAUCCUGGCUCAGAACGAACGCUGGCGGCGCGCCUAAUACAUGCAAGUCGAGCGAGAAGGUGUAGCAAUACACUUGUAAAGCGGCGAACGGGUGAGGAAUACAUGGGUAAUCUACCAUCGAGUGGGGAAUAACCAGCCGAAAGGUUGGCUAAUACCGCGUACGCCUCCGGAUUUUCGGAUUCGGAGGGAAAGCCGUGCUGUGAGUACGGCGCUCUUUGAUGAGCUCAUGUCCUAUCAGCUUGUUGGUAGGGUAACGGCCUACCAAGGCUUUGACGGGUAGCUGGUCUGAGAGGACGAUCAGCCACACUGGCACUGCGACACGGGCCAGACUCCUACGGGAGGCAGCAGUAAGGAAUAUUGCGCAAUGGGCGAAAGCCUGACGCAGCGACGCCGCGUGGGGGAUGAAGGUCUUCGGAUUGUAAACCCCUUUCGGGAGGGAAGAUGGAGCGAGCAAUCGCUCGGACGGUACCUCCAGAAGCAGCCACGGCCAACUUCGUGCCAGCAGCCGCGGUAAUAC